rnacentral:lncRNA from 1 species
CCUCCUCCCCGUCGCCUCUGCGGCGGCGCGAAGCCGCCCUGCUUUCUCUCCAAUGCGGUGCAACGACCUCCUCUGCUCUGGACGGAAUAAAUUUUCAGCCUCUCUUGCAAGCGACGCCUCUCACCUCUCUCUCAGGCUCUCUGAGGUCGCGCUCCCGCCAAAACCCUAGCUUCCGUCGCGGCCGCGCGGGAGAACUCGGUGCAGCCCCCGCGAAAACACCUCGCCCCUGCUCUGGUCUUUCCGAUGAAACCACCAAGAUUGUGCUUUUUUGCCUUAAGUGAAUACUGUCCACAGGAUGUGAAUGAAUGGUAGAUAUUAUGGGGUAAGGCUCUCUGUGACUUGGGUCGGCGCACCCGCACCUCCCCGCGCCGCUACACCAACUCUCUCCCCCGGGCCGCCGCACCAGCUCCUCACCACAUCGCGCGGCCGGGAAAUGGCACUCGUCCCCUCAUUGCGCGUGGAGCCAAGCCUCAGCCGCGUCAGAUCCGGCGACCCGAGGCACAAAUCCAUCGAUUCGGUCCCGGAUCCAGCGACCGGCGUGCUCGCUGUGGGCGGCGGAGCACCUCCCUCCACUCGCCAUAUCCACCCCACCGGCCUUCCACUUGCUUCCUCCCCUGCCUCAUCGGGUCGAUGAAGAGUCCCUCCUUCAUAGAGCUCUGCCAUCGGCCUCCGGUCAUCCUCUUCUCCCUUCGACCACCACCUCUCCUUCACCGUCUACGAUGACGGUUGCCAUGCCGCCGCCCCUCACUUCUCGUGCAGUCUGCUAGGGCAAACCGUCCAGUCUGCCGGGGCCUGCCAAUGCACCCCCACGCAGCUCUCUCCUCCCCGGUGUAUUAUGUUGCCCUCUGAUGCUUGAGCUUUUUUUUGCGCGAGUCUUACAGCUUGAGAUUGAAGGGUUGGUGCAUUUUACAAGGUUCUGUAACCCAUGAGUGUCUUUUCUUUUGGGGGAGAAACAUGCAACUGUGAUGUCCGUGAUACUCCAAUGCUGAAGAUUCUACCGCUUCGUGUUGUUCUGCACUUUGGUCUCUCUCUGUUUUGUAUAUGCAUUUCGGUCCUCAAAUGUUGGAAGAUUUAUCGCCUUCUGUUAUGUUAAAACCUGUGUUGAUAUAUCUUUUCUAUGUAUUUCUUUAAAAAGUCCUAGGACUUUUUUUGUCCCAACUAAAAAGUCUUUAGUCCCUAUCAGUUUCUUUCCAAGGUCUAAACAUAGACUAUAGGUCAUUAAAUGACAUACAAAAAGACCAUGUAACCCUUAGUAAUAUACUAGAAGUUAUUAAAUGACAUGCUAAAAGUAGGGGCAUUGUUGAGAAAAGAGCCAAAAAAAGUCCCA